rnacentral:rRNA from 1 species
UACGUAGGGGGCAAGCGUUGUCCGGAAUCAUUGGGCGUAAAGAGCGUGUAGGCGGCCAGAUAAGUCCGCUGUGAAAUCUCGAGGCUCAACUUCGAGCUGUCGGUGGAAACUGUCUGGCUAGAGUCCGGAAGAGGAGAAUGGAAUUCCUGGUGUAGCGGUGAAAUGCGCAGAUAUCAGGAAGAACACCCGUGGCGAAGGCGGCUCUCUGGGGCGGUACUGACGCUGAGACGCGAAAGCGUGGGGAGCGAACAGG